UACGUAGGUGGCUAUUCAAGUUAGUGGUGAAAUUCCAGGGCUCAACUCUGGCGCUACCACUAAGACUGUUUAGCUUGAGUGCAGGAGGGGUAAGUGGAAUUCCUAGUGUAGCGGUGGAAUGCGUAGAUAUUAGGAGGAACACCAGUGGCGAAGGCGACUUACUGGACUGUAACUGACACUGAAGUACGAAAGCGUGGGGAGCAAACA
rnacentral:rRNA from 1 species